UUGUGGCCCCAAGUCAGGCGAGGCCCACCCGCC
rnacentral:rRNA from 1 species